rnacentral:misc_RNA from 1 species
CGCACAUUGCGCCCCUUGGCAUUCCGAGGGGCAUACCUGUCCGAGCGUCAUUACCCCCGUCAAGCCCCGGCUUGUCGUUGGGCCCCGGCCUGCCCUGGCCCGCCCGAAAGAAAGCGACGGUCUCGCGUCCGACCCCCGAAGCAAGCGUACAGGCACAGGCUCACGCUGCGAGGGGCCGGCCGGGAUCGGUGUCAACCGUUGAUCCAUGUUGACCUCGGAUCAGGUAGGAAUACCCGCUGAACUUAA